UACGUAGGGUGCAAGCGUUGUCCGGAUUUAUUGGGCGUAAAGAGCUCGUAGGCGGCUUGUCGCGUCGACUGCGAAAACCCGUGGCUCAACCAUGUGGUCUGCAGUCGAUACGGGCAGGCUAGAAUUCGGUAGGGGAGACUGGAAUUCCUGGUGUAGCGGUGAAAUGCGCAGAUAUCAGGAGGAACACCGGUGGCGAAGGCGGGUCUCUGGGCCGAUAUUGACGCUGAGGAGCGAAAGCGUGGGGAGCGAACAGG
rnacentral:rRNA from 1 species